rnacentral:rRNA from 1 species
GAUGAACGCUGGCGGCGUGCCUAAUACAUGCAAGUCGAGCGAACAGACGAGGAUCUUGCUCCUCUGACGUUAGCGGCGGACGGGUGAGUAACACGUGGAUAACCUACCUAUAAGACUGGUAUAACUUCGGGAAACCGGAGCUAAUACCGGAGAAUAUAUUGAACCACAUGGGUCAAUAGUAAAAGACGGUUUUGCUGUCACGUAUAGAUGGAUCCGCGCCGCAUUAGCUGGUUGGUAAGGUAACGGCUUACCAAGGCAACGAUGCGUAGCCGACCUGAGAGGGUGAUAGGCCACAUGGGAACUGAGCACCGGUCCAGACUACUACGGGAGGCAGCAGUAGGGAAUCUUACGCAACGGGCGAAAGCUUGACGCAGCAACGCCGCGUGAGUGAUGACGGUCUUCGGAUCGUAAAACUAUGCUAUUAGGGAAGAACAAAUGUGUAAGUAACUAUGCACGUAUUGACGGUACCUAAUCAGAAAGCCACGGCUAACUACGUG